rnacentral:rRNA from 1 species
AUUGAACGCUGGCGGAAUGCUUUACACAUGCAAGUCGAACGGUAGAGGGGGCAACCCCUCGAGAGUGGCGAACGGGUGAGUAAUAUAUCGGAACGUGCCCAGUCGUGGGGGAUAACGUAGCGAAAGUUACGCUAAUACCGCAUACGAUCUACGGAUGAAAGCGGGGGAUCGCAAGACCUCGCGCGAUUGGAGCGGCCGAUAUCAGAUUAGGUAGUUGGUGAGGUAAAGGCUCACCAAGCCAACGAUCUGUAGCUGGUCUGAGAGGACGACCAGCCACACUGGAACUGAGACACGGUCCAGACUCCUACGGGAGGCAGCAGUGGGGAAUUUUGGACAAUGGACGCAAGUCUGAUCCAGCCAUUCCGCGUGCAGGAUGAAGGCCCUCGGGUUGUAAACUGCUUUUGUACGGAACGAAAAGGUCUCUCCUAAUACGGGGGGCUCAUGACGGUACCGUAAGAAUAAGCACG